rnacentral:rRNA from 1 species
UACAGAGGGUGCGAGCGUUAAUCGGAGUUACUGGGCGUAAAGGGCGCGUAGGCGGUUCAUUAAGAUUGUUGUGAAAUCCCUGGGCUUAACCUAGGAACUGCAACGAAGACUGGUGAGCUGGAGUAUUGUAGAGGGUAGUGGAAUUUCCGGUGUAGCGGUGAAAUGCGUAGAGAUCGGAAGGAACACCAGUGGCGAAGGCGGCUACCUGGACAAAUACUGACGCUGAGGCGCGAGAGCGUGGGGAGCAAACAGG